GACGAACGCUGGCGGCGUGCCUAAUACAUGCAAGUAGAACGCACAGUUUAUACCGUAGCUUGCUACACCAUAGACUGUGAGUUGCGAACGGGUGAGUAACGCGUAGGUAACCUGCCUGGUAGCGGGGGAUAACUAUUGGAAACGAUAGCUAAUACCGCAUAAUAUUGAUUAUUGCAUGAUAAUUAAUUGAAAGGUGCAAUUGCACCACUACCAGAUGGACCUGCGUUGUAUUAGCUAGUAGGUGAGGUAACGGCUCACCUAGGCGACGAUACAUAGCCGACCUGAGAGGGUGAUCGGCCACACUGGGACUGAGACACGGCCCAGACUCCUACGGGAGGCAGCAGUAGGGAAUCUUCGGCAAUGGACGAAAGUCUGACCGAGCAACGCCGCGGGAGUGAAGAAGGGUUUCGGAUCGUAAAGCUCUGUUGUAAGAGAAGAACGGGUGUGAGAGUGGAAAGUUCACACUGUGACGGUAUCUGACCAGAAAGGGACGGCUAACUACGUG
rnacentral:rRNA from 1 species